rnacentral:lncRNA from 1 species
GGGGGGAUCAGCCGCCGCGGCCGCCCCGGAGCCACCGGCAGCCGCCGGGAUGAGGCUGCGGGUUCAGGGAGCUCGGAGCUCCCGUCCCAGUCAGAAUCAGAGCGAAGGGAAUCUCCCAACAAGGAGUUUUCUCCUCCUGAUCCCUGACUCUGACCCCACCCUGCCCCGGCCAUGAGAACGCUCGUGCUCCAUGUGCACAUCCCUCCACUUUUUGGGACGCUUGUCCCAGAAAGAACCCCCUGGAGAUGGGACAGAGGGGACAGAGGGGAUGGAGGCUCCGUGUGCGGGGGUGCUGAGGCGGGACGAGGUCACGGGACAGUUUUGGGCUUGGAAAUCCCCAUCCCAAAGGAUCCCUGGGUGCUAAUCAGGAGCAGCUGCUGCCUCCAGCACAUCUCCAGGAGUGGGGGGAGCCCCAAGGGUCCAUCCCAGAGCUCAGGUUCGGCUCAUUUUGAGGGAAAACAACCUGGAUUUGGAGCCUUGGGAGCUCAUUCCUCCAAGGUUUGGGUUGUUACUCCCCAGAGCAGAUUUUGGGGUCUCCUCUGUGCCAUCACCAUCCAGAAUCCUGGUUUAUCCAUCUUCCCCAUGUCCUUCCUGGUUAUCCAGCAGAUCCUCCUCCCUGGGGAGCCCCCCGGGGGGCAGGAGGCCAAGCAGCCCCCUGGGAAUGGGUCUAUUCCCGUCCUCUGCUCCCAGGCUGUUCCCACGUCCGGGAAGGGAUUUGGGCUGGAAAGUGGGAAGAAUGGGGGGUGUCUGGGAGGGGAAAAUGGGGGGCAUGGACCCUCCUGGGCCUGCUCUGGUGCCCCCCAAAGGUGGGGAGGAGGAGCUGGGGGUGCUUGCAGCGGUGCUGGAGCUCAUUCACACGGCCCUGGCAGCUCCCAAAUAUCUCCUAAGGCCUUUGGAGAGCGGAUAAAAAUAGCCGGGGAGCUGGAAAAUAUGACAAAGCCCCCAGUCCCCCCCAAAAACGGCCGUGGGGGGCCUGGGGCCAAGCUGGGGUCACAGCUGCUCCCAGGGGUCCCGGCACCGCUGACCCCCCAUGUCCUGAACACUCCUGGGGGUCCUGGCACUGCUCACCCCCUGUGUCCCCCCAGGAGCCCCCACGGGCACCGGCCCCUUCAGAGUGGGGGUGUGGGGCCUCUCCUCCUGUUUUUGGGGUUCAGGGGGUUCCUCCUCUCCCAGCCCAAGGAUGGAGGUGAGAGGGGACCUCAGAGGGGCUGUCCUGUCCCCCUCCCUCUGCUGUGUCCCCCAAUACUGGGAUAUCACUGCAGGCAGCAGGGUACCAGAGUUUUGGGGUCCCUCCUGCCCACCCAACCCUCUACUGCCCAGCAAUGAGCAGUGAUUUGGGGCUGGGGGACACCA